CCAAAGACGAAAGAGAGGAAAAGAGAAAGGAAAAUCAGCAAAGGGAAAAUCGAUAGGGGAUUAGGAGAAUUGAAACUUCUAAAAUUUUGGAAAAGAACUGAAAAAAAUUGAAAAGAAAAUAAAAGAAUUCCAAUUGAUAACCUCCAAAUACUUUAAUUAUCUACUAUUAUCACUUCACAACAACAACCUCCCCAAAUCCCAAUAUUCUCUCUUCAAAUCUC
rnacentral:lncRNA from 1 species